CCCGGCUAAACUCAGUUUCUUAAAUGACUUGUGUCAUUUGUAACUUGGAGGUAGGCUGGGUAGCACAAUGGGGCCCAGCCAGGAUGGGAGGCAGAGCCCCAUGCAUUCUUGCCCUUCCUCUUCUGGCCCUCACACGCCAGUGUGCUCUGCUGCUCCAGCGUGCCCCAUCUUCACUCCACGGCCCCUUCCGUCCUCUCAGGGACCAGCAGCGCUCAGUGUCUGCUGAGCCCAGGAGAGGAAUUUGCCUCAGGAAGAACCUUCUGUGGGUUUUGUGUUUGGAAGGCGAUGAGCAGAGAUGAAGGACUGCGACUUGGGCGUGUGGAUCGGGGUGGGAUUUCUGUUUGAGCCGGGCAGCAUUCUUCCUUCCUGUCCUGGCCUCACCAUGCUCCUUUUGGGAACUGUUUCUCCUUUGCAGGGUCAGUCAGUAAAAAACCAUGGCUCACUGUUGGGCCUACCUGGGCAUCUCUAACUGCUGGGAAGCAUCUCUGCAGGAUAGCCUACAAAUCUGAACACUUCCCAUGAGGGGGGCUCCCAGGCAGUGAUCCCACGUUAAGAAACCUGUUACCAAAUGUAAAAUUUCGCCUAAACUGCAAGGAAAGCCUUGGUCUUGGGUAAUUGCUGCUUUAGAAUAUUGUGGCUCUUUUCCCCUCCCCACCAGGUGUUUUUUCAUUGCUCAGUCCUAUGUGCUGGUGAAGAAGUGGAGCGAAGCCCUUGUCCUGUAUGAUAGAGUCCUGAAAUAUGCAAACGAAGUAAAUUCUGAUGCUGGCGCCUUCAAGAACAGCCUAAAGGACCUACCUGACGUGCAAGAGCUCAUCACUCAAGUGCGGUCGGAGAAGUGCUCCCUGCAGGCCGCAGCCAUCCUUGAUGGAAACGACGCUCAUCAGACAGAGACCUCCUCUUCCCAAGUCAAGGACAAUAAGCCUCUGGUUGAACGGUUUGAGACAUUCUGCCUGGACCCUUCCCUUGUCACCAAGCAAGCCAACCUUGUGCACUUCCCACCAGGCUUCCAGCCCAUCCCUUGCAAGCCUUUGUUCUUUGACCUGGCCCUCAACCAUGUGGCUUUCCCACCCCUUGAGGACAAGUUGGAACAGAAGACCAAGAGUGGCCUCACUGGAUACAUCAAGGGCAUCUUUGGAUUCAGGAGCUAACCAGGCUCUUCCUCAGGGGUGGGGGAGAUUCUGA
rnacentral:lncRNA from 1 species